CAGAAAGCGCAGGUCUGUGUGGGUCCAGAGAUGGCUAAAGUCCCGAAAGCAGGCAGGGGAGUUCCACCGUCUAAUUCAAGAGCUUCGACUGUUUGGAGAGGAAAUUCCGAAGUUACUUUCGUCUGGACCGAAGCCAGUUCGAUCACCUGCUCCAGAUGGUUGGAGCCAGGAUCACCCGGAUGGAUACCAACUACCGGGAGUCCAUCAGCCCAGUUGAACGCCUGGCCUUUUGUCUCCGAUUCUUGGCGACAGGGGACUCCUACAGGACCAUAGGAUUCAGCUUCCGAGUUGGAUGGUCCACGCGGUGGCAGGCAUUGUCCCCUCUGUGGCACAAGCCAUUUGGGACUGUCUGGUUGGUGAAAACAUGCCUGUCCCCAAGGAGGAAGACUGGAGGGCCAUCACUGCCGAGUUCCUGGAGAGGUGGAAUUUCCCCAACUGUCUUGGCUCCAUUGACGGGAAACAUGUAGUAAUCCAGGCUCCACGGUGCUCAGGUUCGCAAUUCUACAACUACAAGGGUACAUAUUCAGUUGUACUCUUGGCUGUAGUAGAUGCCAUCUACUGUUUCCGUGUUGUCGAUGUUGGUGCUUACGGCAAGGGAAGUGAUGGCGUGACCCUCCGAGACUGCCUUUGGCCAGGCACUUCAGGAUGGCACCCUGUAUAUUUCACUACCUGCAUCACUCCCUGGGGCUGAAGACCUGGGACCUGACCACCACGUCUUCGUCGGCAAUGAGGCCUUCCCUUUAAGACCCAACCUCAUGAGGCCCUACGCUGCAUGCCAGCUGCCAUUGCCAAAGCCUGUAAGGAUCUUUAGCAAACGACUGUCCAGGGCAAGGUUAGUUGUUGAAUGCGCCUUUGGGAUUCUGGAAGCCUGAUGGAGAAUAUAUUGGAGAGUGCUUGGUCUCAGCCCCUCAAAUGUUGAUGCCUGCGUGAAGGCCACAUGUGUUCUCCACAACUACCUGCGGAGGAGGUAAUUCCAGGAGCCGCUCCGGAUGGAGAUGGGCACGCCAAAUGGUCACCUUCCUGAUGUCACCAGGGCAGGUGCCAACAACGCCCCCAGACAGGCACUCCAGGUGAGGGAGAAGCUGACCACCUACUUCUCAUCGCCAGCAGGUGAAGUCCCAUGGCAGUAUGCCGUGGAGUGAAAUGGCUCUUUUAAUUAAGAGCCCCAUAACACAAAGCUUAUUUUAGAACCAUCCACCGUUGUCCAUAAAAUUGCAUUUUUCAAUUUGGGAGUAAAAACCACACCUUAACCCCUUCUCUCUCCCAUUAACGUCAGUAUUAUACACACCUGGCAUAGUACAUCAGGUGAGCGGGAGCACUAAUUGAGGUUAUACGACAUACAGUUAAUAUGAUAACAAAGGGAAAGGGUAACCUAGGGUUCAUACAAAUAGUACAGUUUACCACCAUGUUGGCCUGACAAAAUACAGGUGGAAAAAAAACUAAUUAGGAAGAGAAUGUGUUUUUACUUUCAUCUUGUUUUAGAUCAGAAAAGGUGUAGGGAAGAAAUAAGCAGAUUAAGUCUAAAUUAGAUAUUAAUAAACAACUGAAACAACUGACUAUGAAAACAUUAUAAUUGAAUAAUUAUUCAAGUACAGGAAAGAACAUGACAGGUAUGUGUGUUGUAAAAAUGUUUAAAAAAAUAGAACUAUUGAAAGAGGUGUGUGCGUGCGUGUAAAUGAUUAUUAUUAUUUUUAGAUGAAUGUGUAGCCUGUAAUCUGUAAGAGAACAGCAAGAGCAUGUAUUUUUGGCACAACUGCAGACCGAUACGGGGACUACUCAGAAAGCCUAGACGUAGUAGGGGAACUUCAGACAUGGCCAUAAAGAGAGAGAGGGCAGGGCACUGGAGAUCUGAGGUACGAAGAGGUGUGUGUGUGUCUCUGUCUCUGAGAAAAAGGGAAUCAUAUGUAGCCAUAACACAGCUAAACAAACAAAUGGCCCCUGGACGUCACGGACCAGUCGAUGGAACAUAACUUCACAAAAAGUUUCAACACCCUGGUUUUCAAGUGGUUUUAAAUUAAAUAAAUAUAUUGACCUUUAGUCUUGUAAGAGAACCAAGAGCAUCUGUAAAAACUCCGUAUUGAGUUUCAAUUCAGAAAUCUAUGUAACACUAAUAAUGAAUGCUAUCCUAAGACUUUAUAAACAAAUGACUUUAUGAAUUGACUGAAUUUAAACGGAACUGACGUGUGUGAAAAGAAAGGUACAAAUGAGGGAGGUCAAAACAACAACCAGACAACUCCUCUUCCUGUCCUUCCUGUGAGCUGGUCGGCCCCGGCAACUCCUCUCCUCUUCCUGUCCUUCCUGUGAGCUGGUCGGCUAAAUUGACUCCAUUUCUGAAAGGGAAGAGAAAAACAACACAUACAAGCUUAACAUAAUAUGACAACAUAAAAGCCUCUUCAGUGUUGGCACCAGGCUCAUGGCAAAGAGGGUCUCUUCAUCCUCCAUCCUGUGAGCAUCAGGUUGGGCUGCAUCCCUCUCGACGGCUUGGAGGAGAGCCUCUGCUGAAAUGAGUUGAGUG